CGCUGGCGGCAGCCUCAAACAUGCAAGUCUAGGGGUGUAGCAAUACAUCACCGGCGGACGGGUUGCGUAACGCGUGGGAAUAUACCUAUCGAUUCGGAACAACUGAGGGAAACUUCAGCUAAUACCGAAUACGUCCUAACGGAGAAAGAUUUAUCGUCGAUAGAUUAGCCCGCGUUCGAUUAGCUAGUUGGUGGGGUAACGGCCCCACCCAAGGCGACGAUCGAUAGCUGUUCUGAGAGGAAGAUCAGCCACACUGGGACUGAGACACGGCCCAGACUCCUACGGGAGGCAGCAGUUGGGAAUCUUGGACAAUGGGGGAAACCCUGAUCCAGCCAUGCCGCGUGAGUGAUGGAGGCCUUCGGGUUGUAAAACUCUUUCGCGCACGACGAUAAUGACGGUAGUGCGAGAAGAAGCUCCGGCUAACUUCGUG
rnacentral:rRNA from 1 species